rnacentral:rRNA from 1 species
AUUGAACGCUGGCGGCAGGCUUAACACAUGCAAGUCGAGCGAGUGGCGGACGGGUGAGUAAUAUCUGGGAAAAUGCCCGCUGGCGGGGGGUAACUACUGGAAAAGGUAGCUCAUACCGCCUACCAUUAGAGGUGCCCUUAUGGGAGUAGCGAGUGGGUGGGGUAAUGGCUCACCAAGGCGACGAUCCCUAGCUGGUCUGAGAGGAUGACCAGCCACACUGGGACUGAGACACGGUCCAGACUCCUACGGGAGGCAGCAGUGGGGAAUAUUGCACAAUGGGCGCAAGCCUUAUGCAGCCAUGCCGCGUGUGUGAAGAAGGCCUUCGGGUUGUAAAGCACUUUCAGCGAGGAGGCGUUACUCGCAGAAGAAGCACCGGCUAACUCCGUGCCAGCAGCCGCGGUAAUUC